GUCCAGACUCCUACGGGAGGCAGCAGUGGGGAAUAUUGCACAAUGGGGGAAACCCUGAUGCAGCGACGCCGCGUGAGUGAAGAAGUAUUUCGGUAUGUAAAGCUCUAUCAGCAGGGAAGAAAAUGACGGUACCUGACUAAGAAGCCCCGGCUAACUACGUGCCAGCAGCCGCGGUAAUACGUAGGGGGCAAGCGUUAUCCGGAUUUACUGGGUGUAAAGGGAGCGUAGACGGCAUGGCAAGUCAGAUGUGAAAGCCCGGGGCUCAACCCCGGGACUGCAUUUGAAACUGUCAGGCUGGAGUGCAGGAGAGGUAAGUGGAAUUCCUAGUGUAGCGGUGAAAUGCGUAGAUAUUAGGAGGAACACCAGUGGCGAAGGCGGCUUACUGGACUGUAACUGACGUUGAGGCUCGAAAGCGUGGGGAGCAAACAGGAUUAGAUACCCGCGUAUAU
rnacentral:rRNA from 1 species